rnacentral:rRNA from 1 species
GUGAGGAAUAUUGGACAAUGGGCGCAAGCCUGAUCCAGCCAUGCCGCGUGCAGGAAGAAGCAUCUAUGGUGUGUAAACUGCUUUUGUACGGGAAGAAACACUCCUUCGUGAAGGAGCUUGACGGUACCGUAAGAAUAAGGAUCGGCUAACUCCGUGCCAGCAGCCGCGGUAAUACGGAGGAUCCAAGCGUUAUCCGGAAUCAUUGGGUUUAAAGGGUCCGUAGGCGGUUUGGUAAGUCAGUGGUGAAAGCCCGCAGCUCAACUGUGGAACGGCCAUUGAUACUGCCAGACUUGAAUUACAAGGAAGUAACUAGAAUAUGUAGUGUAGCGGUGAAAUGCUUAGAUAUUACAUGGAAUACCAAUUGCGAAGGCAGGUUACUACUUGUGGAUUGACGCUGAUGGACGAAAGCGUGGGGAGCGAACAGGAUUAGAUACCCGAGUAGUCC